UACGUAGGGGGCGAGCGUUGUUCGGAAUUACUGGGCGUAAAGCGUGUGUAGGCGGUCUCAACAGUCGGGUGUGAAAGCCCUGGGCUCAACCCAGGAAGUGCACUCGAUACUGCGAGGCUAGAGUAUCGGAGAGGUUGGUGGAAUUCUCGGUGUAGAGGUGAAAUUCGUAGAUAUCGAGAGGAACACCGGUGGCGAAGGCGGCCAACUGGGCGAAUACUGACGCUGAGACACGAAAGCGUGGGGAGCAAACAGG
rnacentral:rRNA from 1 species